GUGACCCCAUGUUAGUGAGCUACCCGCUGAGUUAAA
rnacentral:rRNA from 1 species